rnacentral:rRNA from 1 species
UGCCUAGAGGAUAUCAUUAAUGCAUCAAAUCCCAUUAGAACUGUGUAUUUAAGCACACUCGGGAUAGAGUAGUACUGGCAUUGGUGACCACUCGAGAAGUCUUAGUGUUUUACAUGC